rnacentral:rRNA from 1 species
AAUGCGCUAGUGAAUCUGCCGGGCAGUGGGGGACAACGUUUCAAAUGGAACGCUAAUACUCGACAUACGUCCUACGGGUAGAAAGCAGGGGACCUUCGGGCCUUGCGCUAUAAUAUGAGCCUAGGUCGGAUAAUACUAUCUGGUGGGGUAAUGGCUCACCAUCGCGACGAUCCGUAACUGGUCUGAUGAGGAUGAUCGCCCACACGGGAACUGAGACUCGGCCCAGACUCCUACUGGAUGCAGCAUGGGGCGAAUAUUGGACCAUGGGCGAAAGCCUGAUCCAGCNUGCCGCGUGUGUGAAGAAGGUCUUCCGAUUGUAAACUACUUUAAGUUGGGAGGAACGGCAGCAAACUAAUACCUUGCUGUUUUGACGUUACAGACCCAAUAAGCACCGGUUAACUCUGUGCCAGCACCCUCGGUAAUACAGACGGUGCAAGCGCUAAUCGGAAUUACUGGGCGUAAAGCGUCGCGUACGUGGUUCGUUAGGUUGGAUGUGAAAGCCCCGGGCUCAACCUGGGAACUGCAUCCCCACUGGCGAGCUAUAGUANCGUAGAUGGUGGCGGAAUUUCCUGUGGAUCCCUGAAAUGCGUAGAUAUAGGAAGGAACACCGGACGCGAAGGCGACCACCUGGACUGAUACUGACACUGAUGUGCCAUCGCGUGGGGAGCNAACAGGAUUAGAUACCCUGGUAACUCACGCCCCAUACGAUGUCUACUAGNNNUUGGAAUCCUUGAGAUNUUACUGGCGCAUCUAACGCAUUACNAUGACCGCCUGGUGAGUACAGCCGCNAGGUUAGAACUCAGAUGUAUNGACUGGGGNCCGCACAAGCANUGCAGCAUGCUGUUUUANUUCNAAGUCACACUAACGANCUNACCAUGCCUAGNANCUGCAGAUACUGUCCAGAGAUGNAUGGUGCNUUCCGGACUCUGACACAGAGCUGCAUGGCUNANUCACUCCGUCUGNCAGUUAGUGAG